rnacentral:rRNA from 1 species
GACGGAGGGUGCAAGCGUUGGUCGGAAUUACUGGGCGUAAAGGGCGUGUAGGCGGUUUGGCAAGUCAGAUGUGAAAGCCCUUGGCUUAACCAAGGAAUAGCAUUUGAAACUGCCGGACUUGAGUACGGGAGAGGAGAGUGGAAUUCCCGGUGUAGAGGUGAAAUUCGUAGAUAUCGGGAGGAACACCAGUGGCGAAGGCGGCUCUCUGGACCGAUACUGACGCUGAGACGCGAAAGCGUGGGGAG